GGUUGCGAUCAUACCAGCACUAAUGCACCGGAUCCCAUCAGAACUCCGCAGUUAAGCGUGCUUGGGCGAGAGUAGUAUUAGGAUGGGUGACCCCCUGGGAAGUCCUCGUGUUGCAACCU
rnacentral:rRNA from 1 species